CAGUCGCCGCGGUAAUACGUAGGUCCCGAGCGUUGUCCGGAUUUAUUGGGCGUAAAGCGAGCGCAGGCGGUUAGAUAAGUCUGAAGUUAAAGGCUGUGGCUUAACCAUAGUACGCUUUGGAAACUGCCUAACUUGAGUGCAAGAGGGGAGAGUGGAAUUCCAUGUGUAGCGGUGAAAUGCGUAGAUAUAUGGAGGAACACCGGUGGCGAAAGCGGCUCUCUGGCUUGUAACUGACGCUGAGGCUCGAAAGCGUGGGGAGCAAACAGGAUUAGAGACCCCCGUAGUCCCUGUCUCUUAUACA
rnacentral:rRNA from 1 species